rnacentral:tRNA from 1 species
GUCCCUGCAGCGCAAUGGAUAGCGCGUUGGACUUUUAAUCCAAAGGUCGUGGGUUCAAAUUCCAUCUGGGAUG